AAGUCGUAACAAGGUCUCCGUAGGUGAACCUGCGGAGGGAUCAUUACAUAAUAACCAGGCGGGCUGGACACCCCCCGCUGGGCACUGCUUCACGGCGUGCGCGGCGGGGCCGGCCCUGCUGAAUUAUUCACCCGUGUCUUUUGCGUACUUCUUGUUUCCUGGGUGGGCUCGCCCGCCCUCAGGACCAACCACAAACCUUUUGCAAUAGCAAUCCGCGUCAGUAACAACGUAAUUAAUUACAACUUUCAACAACGGAUCUCUUGGUUCUG
rnacentral:misc_RNA from 1 species